GAUGAACGCUAGCUACAGGCUUAACACAUGCAAGUCGAGGGGCAGCACAAGGCAGCAAUGCUGAGGUGGCGACCGGCGCACGGGUGCGUAACGCGUAUCCAACCUUCCCGUUACUCUUGGAUAGCCUUCCGAAAGGGAGAUUAAUACAAGAUGGUGUUGAAAUUCCGCAUGUUAUUUCAACUAAAGAUUUAUCGGUAACGGAUGGGGAUGCGUGACAUUAGAUAGUAGGCGGGGUAACGGCCCACCUAGUCUACGAUGUCUAGGGGUUCUGAGAGGAAGGUCCCCCACACUGGAACUGAGACACGGUCCAGACUCCUACGGGAGGCAGCAGUGAGGAAUAUUGGUCAAUGGCCGGAAGGCUGAACCAGCCAAGUAGCGUGAAGGAUGAAAGGUUCUAUGGGAUUGUAAACUUCUUUUAUGAGGGAAUAAAACCUCCACGUGUGGGAGCUUGUAUGUACCUUAUGAAUAAGCAUCGGCUAACUCCGUGCCAGCAGCC
rnacentral:rRNA from 1 species